rnacentral:rRNA from 1 species
CCCUGCCAUUUGUACACACCGCCCGUCGUUGCUACCGAUGCCAGUUGGAUACAGGUUAAGGGACCCGCGGCCCUCCUGGGCUGAUGGGAAACUUGACCCAUGUUUAACUAGUAGAGGAAGCAAAAGUCGUAACA